rnacentral:rRNA from 1 species
GUAAGGAAUAUUGGGCAAUGGAGGCAACUCUGACCCAGCCAUGCCGCGUGAAGGAUUGACGGCCCUCUGGGUUGUAAACUUCUUUUGUACGGGAAUAACCCUCCGGACGUGUCCGGAGCUGAAGGUACCGUAAGAAUAAGGAUCGGCUAACUCCGUGCCAGCAGCCGCGGUAAUACGGAGGAUCCAAGCGUUAUCCGGAUUUACUGGGUUUAAAGGGUGCGUAGGCGGAUUAAUAAGUCAGUGGUGAAAGCCUGCAGCUUAACUGCAGAACUGCCAUUGAUGCUGUUAGUCUGGGGUAUGGUUGAGGUAGCUGGAAUGUGUCAUGUAGCGGUGAAAUGCUUAGAGAUGACACAGAACACCGACGGCGAAGGCAGGUUACCAACCCAUUACUGACGCUGAGGCACGAAAGCGUGGGGAUCAAACAGGAUUAGAAACCCUAGUAGUCC